rnacentral:rRNA from 1 species
AGUGAACGCUGGCGGCAGGCCUAACACAUGCAAGUCGAGCGGCAGCGCGUCCGACCACCCUCGGGUGGUCGGAUGGCGGCGAGCGGCGGACGGGUGAGGAAUGCAUCGGAAUCUGCCUCGUUGUGGGGGAUAACGUAGGGAAACUUACGCUAAUACCGCAUACGACCUACGGGUGAAAGUGGGGGACCGUUCGGGCCUCACGCGAUGAGAUGAGCCGAUGCCGGAUUAGCUAGUUGGCGGGGUAAAGGCCCACCAAGGCGACGAUCCGUAGCUGGUCUGAGAGGAUGAUCAGCCACACUGGAACUGAGACACGGUCCAGACUCCUACGGGAGGCAGCAGUGGGGAAUAUUGCGCAAUGGGCGAAAGCCUGACGCAGCCAUGCCGCGUGUGUGAAGAAGGCCCUUGGGUUGUAAAGCACUUUC